AAUUAAUCAAACUGAUUUGGACAAUACCACACGAUUUUUUUUUUAUUGACAAACCAACAUAAACAAUAUAUUAACGUAAAUAACGCAUUCACAUAUAAUUGUUUUAUUUAAUUAUUAAGAAAGACGAAGUACAUGGACGGUGGACACUAAGAAAUAUAAUCUCUUGUAUAUCAAGAGAUUUUAGAGGUUGAAAUGAACUAAACUGACCCUCACACAAUUAAUUGACAGGUAAUAACAGUACCCAUCCUUUUAUUAACCAUAAUGGAAAAGAGUAAUACUGCGUGCGUGCGUGAGCUUAUUAACCAGUGUGGUCGGGAUUUCUUCCAUAUUGAGGGACAGCAAUAAGAUCAAGAUUGUCAACUGUCCCGUCCUUAUCAUCAGCAAUACCAUAUACAGGUACUGGAGUACCCUCCAACCAUUCAUUCUUACCUGAAAGUUUAACAUUAGAAAAUGGAUUCAUAAAUGCUUAUAUUAAUAUAUGAAUUGUAAAUGAUAUCCAUUCAGCUGAAAUUGGCUAAAAAACCUGCGCAAGGAAAAGGAGUUUCCAUAUUCUUCAAAUCAGAAAAGAUCUCCAGGUGAAGCGUAAUCAAAACUCAAAAAUAAGUAGAGCUUGAGCGUGUUCUUAGUUCUGGUUUGAUCUGAUAUAUAUAGAUUCAAGAAGCCGAUGUUGCCGAGGUGUGGGUGAUUGUGACGUAGCAAAACAUAUAAUAGUUAUUUAAGAUUAACGGCCAUGGCUAAACUGCACGUCGAAACGUGUUAGCAUGGGUCCAUAAAAUAAAUAAUUUUAUCUAAUUAGGAGAGAAAUCGAUUCAGUAACAAGCUGCUGCUUGCACUUCCUAGAAAUUUUAAAUUUAUGAAUUGAAAUUACUCACGCCUUUUCUUGUGUAGUUAAUUAUGCAUACAGUUCAAGCUGAGGGAUACUGAUGUGAAGUGUAGGGACAUGGAUAUAUACUAUCGUUUACAUUAUUUUACAGCCUUGAUGUAUUAUUUUAUUUGGCAAUCAUAUAGUCACUGUCUGCACUACACUUUGUCUUCCCUACACUUGUCUCCACUUGAGUAUUCUUGAGUGGUAGCUGAGUCACAAGUCACCUUCUCAUGUCUGCUGGGCUUGCCUGUCGUGCUUGAUUUACUUUGUUCUAACACCCCGGCUCAAUCUCAGUUUUCUUAGCAUACUCUCAGGUCAUGUUUGGUUUGUAAAAAAUGGAGAAGAGGAAAAGUGUGGAAUGGAGAGGAAGAGAAAAGAAAGGAAUGGAGAAAAGUAGUAGUGAAAUCACAUUUUGUUGAUUGGUUUGAUAUAAAAUUUAAUAAGGAAAUGAAUUAUAAUUUUUUUCUUUAGACUAAUUUACAAUUUACCUCAAAUAUUUAAUUAUUUAUACUAGUAAUAAAAUAUAUAUAUAUAAAAAUAAAAUGACGGUCCGGUGGCCGGCGGUGAAGGUCCGGUUACUUUUCGGCGAACGUCUGGCAUCUUUUCGGCGAAUGUCCGGCAUGAUUCCGGCGAAGUUCGGUGGGAUUCCAGCGAAGUCCGGCAGCUUUCCGGCAACAUCAGGCGACUUUCUGGCGGUGAUCCAUUUAUGAUAUUAAAUCAAUAAAAUAAAAUUAUAAAUACUAAUUAUUAAUGAUAUUAAACAAAUUAAAAAGUUGAAAGGUAAUUUUAGAAACUUUAGUUUCUAACUUAAGAGGAAUUUAAAUUUUCACUACUUGGUGUGGAAUUCAAAUUCUACAUUAUGAUGGAUAUUAAAUUUUAAUGGAAAUUAAAUUCUUAUAUAUUUUGUCAAACCAAACAAUGGAAAUGAAAAGAGAAUUUAAAUUACUUUCCUCUUCUCCAUUCUCUCCUCCCAACCAAACACCACCUUAAUUUAUUUGUAUGGAAUUCAAAUAGCUCAUGUCCCAAUGCCUUUGUCAUAAUGUCCGCCACUUGCCUUUUACUCAGCACAUAUUUAAGAAUUAUUUCUCUUUUCCCGAUUUUUCAGUGUAAAUAAAUUAAGCCAAUAUCUUGAGAAUCCAAGCGAUACAUACAGUAGAAUUUGAAAUGGUGCAAGACCUAAUCAAGUUUGAUAUUUACUAAGUUACAGAGGCCAUUGAUGACAUACAUAGGAAAUUAUCUGUAAUUGUUGCUUGACUCCCACGUAUGUGUGUACAUAUAGUUCUUUUCAAGUGAGGGCAUCCUCAUUUUGUUAAAGUGAGGAUGCCCUCACUAGAAAAUUCCAGUAGUGAUAUCGCUGUUGGAUUUUUUAAUCUAGUAUUGUUGGAUCCUUAAUCCAAUACUGGGUUUAUAUGUGAAAAUUUUAUAUAUUGCAGACUGUCAUAUAAGAUUAAGUACAAUUAAAAGUGAACUAUUUAGGUUUUCGGUGCUAUGGACUUUAAUGUGUCUAAUAGGGUGUGAGCUUUAAUGUGUAGAGAUUCAAUGAUAUUUUAAUUUUAUGAUGGACAUAAUUAGAAAUAUCCAGUGACAAUAAGAAAAUGUUGUCUAUAUAAGUGGUUAUGGUUCCCAAAUCACAAGUAUGUUUCUAUUCUAUAUUGACAUCUCAUCAUCAGAGAGAGAGAGCGCAGAGAGAAUUAAAGGACUUUCUAUUCUCUUUUUAAGUGAGGAUACGCUCACUAGAAAAUUACAAUAGUGAUAUCGCUAAAAAACCUAUUUUAGAGUUUGAUUAUUUGAACAAGUAAUUUUAAUUCUGCUUGGCUAGAAUGAGAGUAGUAUGUUAUUAGUCUUUCUAUUUAUAUUUAGGUAGAAUUCUAUUUCUAUGUUUGAGUGUACAUUGCCUGGUAGAUUUACUCAAUUACAAAUCACGUGGUUACAUAAUAUGUUUGAAAACCUCUAAUUAACAAAAUUCUUAUUUUAUUUUCUUUCGUAAUAUGAUUUACCUAAGUCUCUCUUAUAAAAUCAUUUGCAUUAAAGCAUCAAUUAAUCUCAUUACUAUGAUGUAUUAUUUGUCUUGGACUUCUUAUUUUGGUCUAUCACUAUAUUACUUACCUUGGGCUGUCUCACUAUUUUCGCAUAAUAUUAUCUGCCUUGAGUCAUUCAUUUUUGUAUAGAGUGGUUAUAUUAUCUCAUCAGUUUUUAUAUUAAUUUCUAUUUUGCCGCUGUAUGAAAUUACUUGUUUUGGUGAAUUACUAUAUUAUUUCCCUUGGGCCGCCUCACCAUUUUGUUGCAUAAUCUGCCCUGGGUCAUUCAUUUUUGUAUAGAGUGGAGAUAUGAUCUCAUCAGCUUUUAUAUUAAUUUAUGUUUUGCCAUUGUAUGAAAUUAUGAAAAAUGGAUAUUGAAGAGUUUCUUGCCACAAAUUGAACCUGCAUCUCUGGUAAGCAUUACUCAUGCACUUUCGCGGAAAAGGCAGUAAGUGAAUGACCUAAACUCAUGGUUCAUUUCAUAUUAUGGAGUUUCUUAAUUUCUUCAGGAUUAUUUCGCCUGGAAUUCUCCAAAAAUCCACUGCUGAUAGGGUUGGUGCUUGCCACAUUGCCUUUGCGGCUGGUAGUGGCUUGUAUGCUUGUUGGAUUAGUCAGAAAAUUCAAUUGGCAUUGGUCACAAAUUUUUUUAUUCAAAUUUUUAUUCGAGCUGAGGGAUACAUAUAGUAGUAGACUUCAUAUACUAUGGGUGCGUUUUUGGGAUUGAGGUUGGGUAGCUGUGACUUUUAAGUUAGAGCACUAAAGUGUUUGGUAAACACUAGCUGUUGUACCUUUUAAGCUAUAUUAAUAUGAUUUUUUAUUUGUAUAAUGAAAAAUUUAUUAUAUCUUUAAUUAUUAUUUAAAAUUUAUAUUUACUAUAUAUUAUUAACUUUUGUUUGAUAGUUACUAUUUUUUUUUUAUAACAAUUGUAGUUUUUAAGUUACAGCACCUCAAUUCCAAACAAGACCUAUAUUGUCUUUCUCAUAUAUAUAAAAUAUAGUAAGAGAUAUAUAUUGCUUUCAUAUAAUUCUCAAUAUCAUAGGCGGUUAACCUGGACUCUUGGCCUAAAGACAAUAUGAGCAUGAAACCAUUUCGCGUGGGUGAUCAGUUAAGCCACCAAUGGGCUAUAAACAGAGCUUCAUUCAAGAGAGUUAAAGGUAUCCCAAGUUCUGAAAAUUGAGAGCAAGUACAAGUGAGCUUUUGCAGAGAAUUUUGAGAGUGUUUUCUUAACUAUUCUAGCGGGUAUUAUAUUGGGUGUAUUUAGGUUAUCGAGUUUUGAGAAUUAUUCCCGUUCAAAGCCCAACCCCAAUUUCAUGAACCUAAAUAAUAAACCAAACAAAAGAGAAUAUUCUCUCAAUUUAUCUAGAAUUAUCUUGGGUAAUAAUAUCCUGAAUAAUUGGCGCUGUGGCAGUUUUAAAAAUUUGGUGAUUGUUAAGAAAUUAAUGACAAUAAGUUUAGGAUGUCGUUACUUGUUAGGACCUGCAUUUAAAAUCUUAAAUAUUCGUAAUUAAUUAUAAAGAUCUUGGUUCACAUGCAAGCUACAACAAUUAGCCAACAAAUAUAUGGUAUUUUUGACAAAACUGUGCAAAAAGAAAGAGAAUAUAAUCAAUGAAACUGAUUUGGACAAUACCACACGAUUUUAUUUUUAUUGACAAACCAACCUAAAUAAUAUAUUAACGUAAAUAACGCAUCCACAUAUAAUUGUUUUAUUUAAUUAUUAAGAAAGAUGAAGUACAUGGACAUUGGACACUAAAAAAUAUAAUCUCUUAUAUAUCAAGAGAUUUUAGAGAUUAAACUGAACCAAACUAGCACUCGCAUGAUUAGUUGACAGAUAAUAACAAUACCCAUCCUUUUAUUAACUAUAAUAUAAAAAAGUAAUAUUGUGGGUAUGUAUGUAUUUAUUAACCAGUGUGGUCGGGAUUUCUUCUAUAUUGAGAGACAACAAUAAGAUUAAGAUUGUCAAAUGUCACUUCCAUAUCAUCAGCAAUACCAUAUACAGGUACUGGAGUACUCUAUGACCGUUCACUCUUACAUGAAAGUUUAAUAUUAGAAAAUGAAUUCAUAAAUGCAUAUAUUAAAAUAUGAAUUGUAAAUGAUAUCUAUUCAGCUGAAAUUGGCUUGAAACCUGCGCAAGGAGGAGUUUCUAUGUUCUUAUUUCUGCUUUGAUCUGAUACAUAUAGAUUCAAGAAGCCGACGUUGCCAACGUGUGGGCGAUUGUGACCUAGCAAAACAUCUAAUAGUUAGUUAAAUUCCACCUGCGACACGUGGGAGCAUGGGUCCACAAAACAAAUAAUUGGAACUAAUUAGAACAGAAAUCGAUUCGGUAACCCGCCGCCGCAUGCACUUUCUAAAAGUUUUAAAUUUAUGAAUUGAAACUACUGACGCCUUUUUAUGUUUGGUUAAUUAUUCAUAUAGUUCGAGCUGAGGGAUACAUACAGUAGUAGACGCCGUGUACCAUGUUCUCUUUCUCAUAUAUAUAAAUAUAGUAAGAGAUAUAUAUGGCUUUUAUUUAAUUCUCAAUAUCAUAGGCGGUAAACACGGACACUUGGCUUAAAGACAAUAUGAACAUGAAACCAUUUCACGUGGGUGCUCAAUUAUAUAACUUUCAUCCUUCUUAUGGAAGUCAGAAGAGGUGUGUACCUACCACAUCAACCGUGUCAAGCGAAGAUAUUGGACAUUUAAUAAUGAAAAAAUUAGGAAUUUUCAUGGACACACCAGUAGGUUCCGUAAAUAUAUAGAAUCAAUUGAUUCUAGGUACCUUACAAUGUGACUUAUUAUUUUUUUUUUUUUGUCCCUAAAGAUCCGGACUAUUUUUGAGGAUACUGGCCGUUGAGGCUUUGUUUAUAAUUGUGCAAGAAAAUGGAAAAGAAUGGGCUAAAGCGCAAAAAGUAAAGCUAACAGUUGUUUAAUUUAUUUUUUUAAGAUUGUUUUGAUGUGGAAUUUGAUUUGGGAACUUUUUUGUAAUUACAAGAAACAGCCACACAGGGUGACAAUUAUGGCAUUCUUUCGUCAAUUGGAUAUUAAUAGUACAAUGAGGAUGGCUAAAUGCAUAAUCACCCUAUUAAUCUUGCAGUCCAAAGCAAAAGCAAUAGCAUUACAAACAGUAGAACUCUCAGAUUGAUUCACUGUAUCUAAACGAUAGGUCAUCUGAUUACUAAACUAUCUGACGUAACUGAUUCAGAAAUUUAAUUUAGAGAGGAUUUGGUACAAAUAAAAUGAUUCACGAGGCGCGUUCGAUGGUGCAAGUGAUCGGCGGCAACAACAAGCAAGUAAGGUAAUGAUGAUGUAUAUGUUGGAAAUAUGACUUAAUAUUGUUUAUUAAAAGUUCAAAACAUGAAUAAUAGUUGUUGGUACUGUUCACUUAGCAACAAUUGUAAAUUUGUCAAGGCGUGUUCGAACUGUCCUUAAAACAAAUUUAAGCUCUUCUAGAAAGAUUUCUCGAUGCAAAAAGGAUAUAAAUAAAAUGGAUUGAGCUCCAUGAUACAAUGAUAUUGUUGCCAGGUUGCACUCCAAGUACAAUAGUUUAGAAAAGAAAAAUUAAUGAAGAAACUAUGAGAUAGAAGGAGAGGAUAUAGUGGCUGUGCCUUGAAGACUUUGUAUUUUAAAAUACCAAUAAAACUCGAAGAAUAAACUUAAAUAAUUUUGAUCAAGAUUGCACUUUAAGAUGAAACACUAAUUAGAGGCCUUUAUGUAUAACUUAAUAAUUUGAUAAAUAACUUCGCACUAGCAAAGCCAAGAGUUUCAUUUAAACCCCUAAGAUUCAAAUAUUCUUUCACCCUUUACUACUGGCAAAAUUUGGCAAUCGAUAUUUCGGAAGACAUCACACAUGUAAAAAAAAAAAAGGAAAAAAAAAUAGCUAGUCCCAUCAAAAUCACCAAAUGCAAUCCAAUAACAUGCUCCACUUAAGUAUAGACUUUCAUGAGAAUCGACAGAAAAAAUAAAUAAUAAUAAGUUCAUUUAGUUAAGCAAAUAACAGUUUGUGAUUGUUCUUUAACCUUAUUAAUAAUCUAAUUCUUAGUUUCUUACUAUUGUUCUUUUACUUGAUUAUGUUAUCCCCUAAAUCUUCAUAACAUCCAGAUUAAAUUAUUGAGAAAUACGAAAGCGGAAGCGUACCUGAAUCCAUGGUGAUUCGUAGUGGUUCUUGAGUGUAGGAGAUGGACUUCCAAUCUUCUCUUUCUCUUGAGUUUAGAAUUCUCUUUGAGAGGAUUAGAGAAUUGCAAAGGAUUAGAGAGAUUGGGGACCAUAACCCCUUUUAUAUAAAUACCGUGACUAUUGGUUUUCUUUUAGAAAACCCAACAGUCACGUUAUUUAUGAUAAUAAUUAUCACUUCAGCCCCUCAUUAAAGUGAUGAUUAAAUUCUGGUAUCUAUGCAUUUAAUCCACAACAAUUAUACCCUUAGCCAUUUAAUUAACUUCAAAUAGAUCACUUAAUUCUUGGCUUAUUAAAUAAUAGCACACACAUUUUAUUUAUUUCAUGUGUGGCCCCAAAUAUAUUAGAUUAAUAUAAAAUUGAUCUAACAAUCUCCCACUGGGCCAUAAAUGAAAACUGAAAUGUGUUUAACUUAAUGAGCUCAUAAAAUUGCUAUUAUGUCCUUAGAGUAUAUCUGAACAAUCUAGUUCAAUAACCACAUCGGUAUAUGAUCAUAUCGGCCUUUGUUACAUUAAUCGUAACUCAACCAUCCAUGGUCACAUAUAUCAAUAUAGUUACAUGACAUAGAUCAAUUGUGGAUGCAUAGCAUGGAAAUUACAUGCAAUGUGAUCUAAACAUGUCUAUUCCCAACUGGUCCUAAUUUACUUUAUUGAGAUCUAAACUUAAGUUAGUCUAACAGAGUGUAAGGAACUGAAAUACUUUAUUUCUGCAGAAAAUAAUCCGAAUAAUAUAAUCAAAAUAUAAAAGUCACACUUAGUAAUUAUACAAACUCCCACUAAAUCUGAAUAUCCUCAAGUAAAAUCACACCCAUACGAGCAGUGUGCUCAUGAAAGACUUUAGGUGGUAAUCCUUUAGUGAGCGGAUCCGCUAUCAUGGAGUUUGUCUCAAUGUGCUCUAUAGAUAUUUGUCCACUCUGCACUCUUUCCUUCACAACAAGGAACUUGAUGUCAAUGUGUUUUGACUUUGUAGAGCUCCUGUUGUUGUUGGAAUAUAAAACUGCUGACUUAUUGUCACAAAAUAUCUUGAGCGGUCUUUCUACACCCUCUAGAAUGCGCAGCCUAGUGACAAAAUUACGCAGCCAUAUUCCUUGAUUGGAUGCCUCAUAACAUGCUACAAACUUUGCUGCCAUAGUCGAUGAAGCUACAAGUGUCUGCUUGGCAGAUCUCCAAGAAAUUGCUCCACCAGCCAACAUGUAAAUAUAGCCUGAUGUGGAUCUUCUGCUAUCUUGGCAUCUAGCAAAAUCAGAGUCAGAAUACCCAAUGAUCUCUAACUGAUCUGACCUCCUAUAUGUGAGCAUGUACUCCUUUGUUUUCUGUAAGUACCUCAUAACCCGUUUGGUUGCUUUCCAAUGAUCCAUCCCGGGAUUGCUCAAAUAUCUGCCCAACAUGCCAACUAUGCACGCAAUAUCUGGACGCGUACGUACUUAAGCAUAUAUAAGACUCCCUAUAGCUGAAGAAUAAGGAUUCUUCUCCAUUUCCUGGAUUUUAAGAUUGGUCUUAGGGCAUUGACUAAGGCUGAAUUUAUCUCCUUUGGCGACAGGGGUGUUACCUGGUUUACUGUUUUGCAUGCCAAACCUCUUCAAAACUUUAUCGAUAUAGUUCCUUUGUGACAAUCCCAGAAUACCCCGAGAACGAUCCUAAUGUAUCUCGAUUCCUAAAACAAAGGAGGCAUCACCAAGAUCUUUCAUCUCAAAAUGUUUUGAUAGAAAACUCUUGGUGUCGUGCAGUAUGCCUAUAUCAUUUGUGGCAAGCAAUAUGUCAUCAACAUAUAAAACCAGGAAUAUAUGUUUACUCCCACUAAACUUGUGAUACACACAUUCAUCAAUAACAUUUGCCUCAAAACCAUAUGAGAUAAUUAUUUGAUGAAACUUAAAGUACCAUUGACGAGAAGCUUGUUUGAGCCCAUAGAUGGAUUUGGUUAGCUUACAAACCAUUUUCUUUGGGUCUCCCAACACAGUUUUUUGGUUGUACCAUAUAAAUUGUUUCCUCAAUGUCACCAUUAAAGAAAGCAGUCUUAACAUCCAUCUGAUGUAACUCAAGAUCAAAAUGUGCAACAAGUGCCAUAAUUGUCCUAAAAGAGUCUUUCGUAGAAACCGGAGAGAAAGUCUCUUUAUAGUCAAUUCCUUCCUUUUGAGUAAAGCCUUUAGCUACAAGACGUGCUUUAUACCUUUCCACAUUACCAUUUGAAUCCCUUUUGGUUUUAAAUAUCCAUUUACAACCAAUGGGCUUCGCACCGGAAGGUAAUGAGAUGAGUUCCCAAACUUUAUUGUCUUGCAUUGACUUGUACUCUUCAUUCAUGGCUUCGAUCCAUUUAUGAGAAUUGGAGCUUUGCAUGGCUUGAUGAAAGUUAAUUGGGUCAUCUUCCAUCACUCCAGUUUCAUCCUCAUGUUCCUGAAGAAAUACUAUAUAAUCAUCCGGAAUAGCAUUUCUCCUUUCUCUUGUGGAUCGUCUUAAUUGCGCAGGCUCUUGAGGUUGUUGAGUUUGUUCCUUAGGAACAAUCAUCUCAUGUUGAUUCUGGGGUUGAACAACAUUGUCAGAUGGUUGAGGAUCUGAAUUUACUUCAUGAUCAAUGACAAGUAUUAAAACUUGUACAUUGUCAAAAGCAACAGUGGAUCCCUCUUCCUCUUCAAAGACAAUGUUUCUUACUGGAUUUCUCCCCCCAAACUCAACAUCCUCAAAGAAUGUAGCAGUUCCCGUCUCAAAAAUUGACCUUGUACUGGGAUCAUAAAACUUAAAACCCCUUGAUCGCUCUGCAUAGCCAAAAAAGUAGCUGCUUACAGUUUUGGAAUCCAAUUUCCUUUCAUGAGGUCUAUAAGGUCUCGCUUCAGCUGGACAUCCCUAACUAUGUAAAUGGUUGAGACUAGGCUUUCGACCCGUCCAAUGCUCAUAAGGUAUUUUAGCAGCCGCUUGAGUUGGCAUUCGAUUUAGGAUAUAAGCUGCUGUUUUUAGUGCUUCACCCCAGAGUGAUUCUGGUAAAGUAGAAUGACUGAUCGUACUCCUUACCAUAUCCUUAAGAGUGCGGUUUCGUCUCUCAGAUACACCAUUCAUGCUAGGCGAUCCUGGCAUAGUAUAUUGAGGGACAAUUCCACAUUCCUCUAGGUAUUUAGCAAACGGUCCUGGACGUUGUUCUCCUGAACCAUUAUAUCUACCGUAGUAUUCACCACCACGGUCAGACCUGACAUUUUUAAUCCUUUUGUUGAGUUGUAACUCAACUUCGGCUUUAAACGUUUUGAACACAUCCAAAGACUGUGAUUUUUCAUGAAUCAGGAAUAUAUAGCCAUAUCUUGAAUAGUCGUCUAUGAAUGUAAUGAAAUAUUGUUGACCAUUCCAAGUAGCUGUAUGGAAUGGUCCACAAAUAUCUAUAUGAAUUAAUUCUAAGACGGCUGAUGUUCUGUAGGCUCCUAAUUUCUUACUUUUGGUUUGUUUUCCCUUGAUACACUCAAUACAAACAUCAAGGUCUGUAAAAUCAAGAGAUCUUAAAAUCUCAUCAGACACUAAUCGCUCAAGUCUAGCUUUAGAGAUAUGACCUAAACGUUUGUGCCAUAAUGAGGCCGAAUUUUCUUUCUCUAAUUUACGUUUUAUACCUCUGGAACUAAAAUGCAGGUUUUCAUUAUAACUUGAAACAGUGUGUAGCAAAUAUAGAUUGUCAUAAGCAUUAAGCAAACCGGUUCCAAUAACAUUAGAAUUGAUAGAUAAACUAAAUUGUCUGUUUACAAAUGAACAAGAAUAACCAGAUUUGUCCAAAACAGAAACUGAAAUCAAAUUUCAUCUAAAAGACGGAACAACAAAAGUAUCUAACAAAUCCAAAUAACAACCAGUUUUCAUAAGUAAUCUAAAAUGCCCAAUUGCUUCAACUUCUACCGUCUUACCAUCUCCUACAUAAAUGCAUCUUUCAGCAUCACUUGGCGGCCGGUAGCUCAGGCAACCCUGCAGUGAAACACAAAUGUGAGUAGUAGCACCCGAAUUUAUCCACCAUGUGUUUCUUGGUACUGAAGCGAAAUUAGUUUCAGAACAAACCAAAGUAAGAAAUGUACCUCUCUUUACGCGCCAUGCGUGAUAUUUUUGACAUUCCUUCUUCACAUGUCCAGGCUUGCCGCAGAAGAAACAACCAUGCUCGGCCUUUGGUUUCUUUGGCUCUGGACCCUUACAAGCAGCAGCUUCACCCUUUUUCUUUCUUUUGCCCUUAUCUUUAAAAGUGCUUACGAUAUGUGCAUAUUCGGAUUUCUCUUGCUUCAGUCUCUCUUCUUCUUGCACACAAAAGGAAAUCAGUUCAUUAAGAUUCCACUUCUCUUUCUGACAGUUGUAACUAACUUUGAACUGAUUAAAUUGUGUUGGGAGAGAGAUAAGGACCAAAUGCACAACCAAAUCAUCAGAUAGGUCGAGCCCUAAUGCCUUAAGCUUAGAAGCAAGAUGAGACAUCUCCAUGAUGUACUCUCGAACGUUUCCCUUGCCUUUAUACUUCAUUGAAAUCAAGCUUGCUAAAUGCAUACUUGUUUCAGCCUUAUCGUUUUUUGUAAAACGUUUAUGAAUUUCGGUAAGAAACUCACUAGCACUUGUAACCUCAUCAGUUAUAGCACUCCUAAAUACUUCUGGAACACCGCGCUUCAUGAUCAUAAGACUCAUCAUGUUAGAUCGAUCCCACUUCUCAUAGUACAACACAUCCUCAGAUGUACUAUCAUCAGUGAGUUCGUCUGGCUUAGGGUGUCUGAAUGAUAAGUCUAGAUCCAUGCAGCCUAAGAGAAUCAUCAUAUUCUCUUUCCAGUCAAUAAAAUUAGUCCCAUUUAGAACCGGGACACUAUUCAUAUUUGCAGAUAUAGAAGUCGCAGAUAGAAAAGCUAAAUAGAGAACAAAAAAAUAAAAUAUAAAUAAUGCUCACAUUAAACAACUCAAUUAAUAAUCUUUAAAAAUUUAAAAACAAAUUAUAACAUUUCAAGAUACCUAGCACAACAUUAGUAACAAGUCUUUGGACUAUAAUACUAACUGUAAAUGGUACUCUUGUUGCAAUGAUCAAAUUUUGACAAUAAAUUAUGUCAAGUAAUGAACCAAUCUUUGGAUUAGUACAUUACUCACAUUAAGUUAUCUUAAUAAUCGUCACAAAUUUACCAUCACAAGUGUGUGUGCAAUUAGGCCAAAUAUUAACCUUCCUUUGGGUCGAUUAACAUCCGCAGGAAUUACACAAACACAAACAUCUAACACCCCAAAUAAACUAAUCUACACAGGAGAUAUCACUUUGGUGACUUCCUGCUUUAAUUAGCAUAUCAUCAGUGUUAGACCAAUAAUCAUUUUAAUUUAAAGAUUAUAAAACCAUAACCGAAAUAAUUAAUAAAACCGAAACCGAAACGUGGUCUAACCAUAACAAUUACAAAAUUCCAAGCAAAAUGAUAUUAAUAACUCAAUAAUCUAAUCAUGGAUGGGGCUCUGAUACCACUUGUUAUCCCCUAAAUCUUCAUAACAUCCAGAUUAAAUUACUGAGAAAUACGAAAGCGGAAGCGUACCUGAAUCCAUGGUAAUUCGUAGUGGUUCUUGAGUGUAGGAGAUGGACUUCCAAUCUUCUAUUUCUCUUGAGUUUAGAAUUCUCUUUGAGAGGAUUAGAGAAUUGCAAAGGAUUAGAGAGAUUGGGGACCAUAACCCCUUUUAUAUAAAUAUCGUGACUAUUGGUUUUCUUUUAGAAAACCCAACAGUCACGUUAUUUAUGAUAAUAAUUAUCACUUUAGCCCCUCAUUAAAGUGAUGAUUAAAUUCUGGUAUCUAUGCAUUUAAUCCACAACAAUGAUACCCUUAGCCAUUUAAUUAACUUCAAAUAGAUCACUUAAUUCUUGGCUUAUUAAAUAAUAGCACGCACAUUUUAUUUAUUUCAUGUGUGGCCCCAAAUAUAUUAGAUUAAUAUAAAAUUGAUCUAACAGAUUAUAUUGUCGAAUCUUUCUGAAAAAGAUUGUUUUUGUAAUUGAACUGUUUAAAGUUUAAACAAAAAAAAAAAGCACUAAAUCCAAAUCAAAUAUAAAUACAAAUCCAGGUUCUAAAAAAAUCAAGUACAAAUACAGAAUCUAAAUUCUAAAACUUAAAGUUUCCAAGCGAACAUCAAGGAAUCAACAUCCCACGAAGCAACACGAACGGCGAAGGCGAGCUAGUUCAACCUGUAUCGGGGCUGGUUACUGGUCGCGAUAGCAGCUAGUGAUGAUGAACAUUGAACACAGCCACAAUCACGAUUAGCGAAGGUGGCGUUCAACUCGUAUCACAACUUGUUACUCGUUGUGACAUAGAAGAAGAAAUGAUGGCUAAUGAUGAUGAUGAGAUUAACACAACCGCAAAGAUAGUGAAGUGAUGACGACGAUGAUUUAAUUUGAUGAAAAAAACACCUGAAAAGAGACAGACAGGAAAUGUUUGGCCUUGGCAGCCGCAGUUAUGAAUGCAAGUAGGGCACUUGGGCUUUUUUUGUGUUUUUCUAUUUGUAUUAUAUAAUCUAAAAAAAUUAAUAUUAAAAUAAAAGCUUCCGGGUCUAGAUUCUGUAUCUAUGGGUUCAGAUAAACCCAGACACGGACUUGGAUACGUCUGGGUUCAUUAAAUUGCAUCCGAAUUCCAUAUAAAAUUUGCUCCAGUAUGGGUUGAAGCCAGCCUAUUCUCUGGGUUCAUCUAGGUUUGGGCGGGGAUCAGAUUGAAUUGGCAUCGCUUUUAUGUCCAAAUUAUCAAUAAGAUCCUUUGCUGUUAGUAAAUUCCUUUAUCAAAUGGUUUCAAUUUUGAACAUAUUAGUCCUAUUCCAAUUUUCAACCGUUCCCAAUUUUAUAACUCCAUUUAUUAGUAACAUUGUCUUAAAAGUUCAUCAUUGCACGGCACUAGAAUGAUUAUAAGGUUUAAUAUUUUUGAAUUAUGAAGCUCGUUCUCAGUAAGACAAGGCUAUUUGCACUCUAAAACUUAGUCUAAACAAUCUAUCACCUUGGAUACUCAUGUACUAAAUUUAAAAAGAUUAAGUUUUAUUUUCUUCACACUUUAAAAUACCUAAAAAGACCUUACUGAAACUCGCUAAAUUAAUUUACUCAAAACACCAAUCAAACUAUUUAGCACAUCCAAAAUGAAUUAGUAAUAAUUUAGAAUACACUGCAAUGGAAUCAAAGUAUGUUCUAAAGAAAUUUUUUUAACAUAAGUUUUAUUUAUUAGCUUUUGUUUAUUAAAGAAUAUGUUCAGCAUUGGUUUUUAAACCCCAAACUUUUAACCCAACAAUUGGAAAAAAUGGUUAUUUGGCCCAAAAAGGGAAAAAAAGAAAGAAAGAAAGAAAGAAAGAAAGCAAGCAAGAAAGAAGAAAAGAACACAAAGAAGAAGGAGAAGACUGCAAAAAAUAUUUUUAAAAAACUAAAAGGCAUAAAUAUGUUCAAAAUAUAUUAAAAGUAUUCAUUUGCUCCUAGCUCCUAGUUUAACUAAAUAUUGUUUAAGAGAUUGGAAAUAAAAUUUCUAGGGCUUAUGCCAAAAGAAUUAUAUAUUCAAUAAUGAGUGUGCUAUAUGAGUAUUUAGAGUAAUUAUAUAAUGUUAAUUUAUAAGAAAGAGUCCUUAUUAGUAAUUCAUAUGAUGUGUAUUUUUGUGAUAGAAUAAUUUAUUAAAAUAAAAAUGUGCAGAAUAUUUUUUGUAUUGUAAAUAUGUAAAAAUUCUCACCCUUCUCAAUAUAUUGACUUGAGUGAUAAUUUUAAAUUGCAUCAGAAUGAGCUAAAAGAAGAGGAAUUGUCGAAAUUCAGCUUAUGGCAAUUGAACAAUUAAUGGUUAAGAAAUACAGUAAAUCAAUAAUACUAAAACAUAAACAUAAUAAGAGAUCUGGGAUCUAACUAAUAUAUUGAUUCAAGAGUGACUAAUUAAAUAAAACUUCUUGAAAACCACACCUGCACAAGUCCAUGUGGGUUCUCAAGUUCUAUGUUAACUAUUAUUCUUCUCGGCAAGUAUCAUUCUUCUAUUGGAGAUGCCAUUGUUGCAGAAUAGAAGUCAGUUGAAGCUGUUAAUAUUAUGAUUGAAGUUUAUGCAAGUGCAGAUUGCAGACAGUAGAUAUCGACUUGAAGCCUCAUGUAAGGAAAUAAAGGUUGGUUUUCAACCAAAUAUGACGACUGGGACAAUGUCGGGUGGUUAAGGAAGAUGCAAUGGUCGUCUCAAAAAAUUGGGUUUCAUUGGCCAGAUAAGACUAAGAUGUCAACUUUUUUUUUUUCGUUAAUAUGAUUAACAAUGAAAGAGUAAUUUUGAAACAUUGACUUGGACUUGUGAUUGUUAAUAAAUUUAUUACUUCUUUUCAUUAAUUUGACCUGCAUAACAAUUAAUUGAGUGAUUUUUAUUUUUCAAGAUACUGCUACUUGAAGAAAUUGUAUGAAUCAAUAAUUUAUCAAUGAGUAACGUUACAAUUUAUACAAGUUAGACAUACUUGGCUGAUAAGCCAAACACUAUAAGAUAAGUCAUAGCCUAUAAGAUAAAUACAAGCUAAGGUAAAGAGCUAUAAGAUAAGAUUACAAGUUAUUGAAACAGAGAGUAGUUAUCUAUGUACAUGUUUGGUUAAUACGCCCCUGCAAGAUAUGUGUUCCAUCUAGAACUCCUAGCUUGGAACGUGCAGCAAUAUAACGACUGCGAGACAGUGGUUUGGUCAAGGUAUCAGCCAACUUAUUUUCUGAAGGAAUAUGAGAAACACAAAGAAGACCUGCUGCAAUUUUAUCACGAACAAAAUAAAAAUCAAUUUCUAGGUGUUUCAUCUUUGAGUGAUAAAUCGGAUUUGAACAUAAGUAUGUCGCUCCAAGAUUAUCACAAUGUAGAACAGGCAUAGAAAAUUUUAUACCAAGUUCAUCCAACAAGUUCCUGAUCCAACAUAUUUUUGAAACAACAGCAGUUAUUGCUCAAAAUUCUGCCUCUGUAGAUGAGCGAGCAACAGAACGUUGCUUUUUGGAUGACCAUGAAAUUGGAUUGCCUCCAAAAUAAAUAACAUAGGCACUAGUAGAACUGCGAUCAUCAAGAUUUCCUCCCCAAUCAGAAUCAGAGUAAGCUAUCAAGGAAUGCGACUGAGAUGAGCGUAGAUGUAAACCAUGAAAAAUUGUCCCUUUCAAAUAUCUAAGUAUUCGCUUAGCAGCUUGCCAAUGAAUUUGUGAAGAUUGUUACAUGAACUGAGAUAAUUUGUUGACAACAAAUCUAAUAUCCGGCCGAGUUAAUGUUAGAUACUGUAAGGCUCCAAUAAGUUGACGAUAUAGAGUGGAAUCGGCUGGUGGUGCCCCAUCAUUUAAUUGAAGUGUAACUGAGGAGGAAAGAGGAGUACCAACUGCUUUAGCAUCAUACAUGCCAAAACGCUGCAGGAGGUCACGAAUGUAAGAGUGUUGUGACAAGAGAAUUCCAGUGGUUUGUUGAACAAGCUCAACACCUAAAAAAUAGUUUAAAGCCCCAAAUCUUUGAGAGAGAAUUUAACUGAAAGAGCAUCAAUGAAAUGAGAAAUAAAUGCAUUAUGGCUGCCCGUUAUAAUUAUGUCAUCAACGUAGGCAAGAAAGUAGACUCGUACACCAUUUGUGUUAUAAAUAAACAAUGAUGCAUCAGAUCGACAUUGAUGAAAACCAUAAGCAAGCAGGAAAUGAUGUAAAGCUGUAAACCAUGCACGUGGAGCCUGUUUUAAGCCAUAAAUUAAUUUAUUCAACCUGCAGACAAAAUUAGGUUUGUUAGAAUCAACAAAACCACUGGGUUGUUUCAUGAACACUUCCUCUUGAAGAUGACCAUGGAGAAAAGCAUUAUUAAUAUCUAGUUGCCAUAAGGACCAGCCACAUGCCAAGGCUAGGCAAAUAACCAAUCAAACUAUAGUAGGCUUAAUAACUGGAUUGAAAGUUUCAUGAAAAUCAAUCCCAAGACGCCGAUGGAAACCUUUAGCUACUAGAUGAGCUUGAAAUCGAUCAAUACUACCAUUGGGUUUCCUUUUAAUCCAAAACACUCACUUACUGCCGACAAGGUUCUGAUUAGGUGAUGGAGGUAUAAGGUCCUAUGUGUUAUUGGAGAUAAGGGCACGAUAUUCAGUAGUCAUGGCAGCAAGCCAUUGAGGAUCUUUAAGUGCCUGUGUAAUGGAGGUGGGUUCACAAGAAGUUGGCAAUGGAUGACUGAAGUGCACCUGUAGAUGGUCUAACGUGGAAGAAAUUUUUUUUUUGGUUUAUGGAUGUUAUUUUGGGAGCGGGUUGUCAUUGGAUGUGUUCGAACAAGUGGAUUUGAUGAAGAAUGAGGUUUAGAUAAGGUUGAAUAAGGAUUAUUGGGUUCUGGAAUGGUGGGUGGAAUUUCAAUGGAAUUAGGAGAUGAUAAGGACGUGAGGAUCUGGGAACUUAUGGUGGUGGGGCUAGUAUUUGGUGGGUAUGAUGUGUGGGGUCAAGAGAGUUCUCCUGGAAUGAACUUGGAGGUUGUAUAUUUGAAUUAGAAUUUUCUGCAGACAAAGAACAUGAGCCCAAGUGCAAUGUCAUUUUAUUAUCAGAUGAGGCAAGUGACUGAGUGGCAUUAGAAUUGGAAGUUGAAACGGUGGGACUAGAUACAUGAAACACAGGAGGAAGCCAAGACGCUAUAGGUAAAGUAGAGAAAGAAGACAAAGUAGAAGUAAUAGAGUUAUAGGGAAAUACAUACUCAACAAAUUGCACAUCUCGUGAAAUAAAAAUUUUCCCAAACUUUGGCUCCAAGCAUUUAUAGGCACUUUGUUGAAAGCAAUAUCCUAGAAAAACACAUGGAAGUGAACGUGGUUCUAAUUUGUUGUGAGUGUAUGGCCGAAGCCAUGGAUAACAAAGACACCCAAAUAUUUUUAGUUUAUUGUAAUUAGGAGUUUCUUUAAACAGUAAUUGGAAAGGACAUUGCAUGCCAGUGGCACGAGAAGGUAGCCUAUUAAUUAAAUAGACAGCUGUCUGGAAGGCAAAUGACCAAAAUUUUGGUGGUAAUGAUGCUUGGUGCAAUAGUGUUAUCCCGGUUUCAACAAUGUGUCAGUGUCUACGUUUAGUUGUUCCAUUAUGUUGUGGGGUAUAAGGUGGUGUAGAUAAAUGAGAAAUGCCACACUUAAGAAAAAAAAUCUUUGAGUUUAAUAAAUUCCCCACCUCUAUCAGUGUAAACAGAAACAAUAUUGGUCUUAAAAUAAUUUUCAACAUUGUUCUUGAAUUGAACAAAAGUACCAAAGACAUCAUAUUUGAAUCGCAAUGGAUAAAGCCAAAUAUACUUGGUAAAGUGAUCAACAAAAAUCACAUAAUAUUUGUAACCAUCCAACGAUGUAACAGGAGCAGGACCCCACACAUCCGAAUAAACAAGUUCAAGAGGACUACUACUUUUCAAUGUAGACUCUCCAAAAGGGAGGCGAUGACUUUUAUUACAUAAACAAGACUCACAUGAUGGAGGAACUAAAGACCCAGAAAUAGAUAAAUGAAGAAAACACAAAAGAUGAUUUAAAACUUCUGUUGACGGAUGACCAACACGCUGAUGCCAAAUGGAAGAUGAAGGUUUAAUAGUGACACAGGAAAGCGGUGAAGAUGAUUUGCUAAAGAAUAAAUUUGGCCACUCAUACACUCCAUCCUUAUUCUGGCCUUGCAAUAAAAUUGCCCCCGUGGUCAUGUCCUUCACCUGAAAAAAAUCAGGAAAGAAUUCAAUAGAGGUAUUAUUUGAAGCACAAAAUUGAGAUACGAAGAUUAGAUUUUUAUUCAUAGAGGGGACAUAAAGAACAUCAUGCAAAGAAAAUUUGGUAUGAGGGGAAGAUAAAGAUAAAGAUCUAGUGUGAGAAAUACUCAAACCUGUACCAUUUCCAACUAAAACUGAAUCAGAACCUUGGUAGGGAGAAGCAGUAGUUAGAUUUUUAAAAUCCCCUGUGACAUAAUGUGAGGCAGCACUAUCAACAAGCCAAUUUGGGGAAACCAUAUUGGAUGUAAUGGUGUGGUUUAACAUCAGAGUAUUUUUGCGAGAGGAGAAAACUGGACAGUCUUUGGCUGUGUGACGUUUUUGCUCACAAAGCUGACAAAAUCCCUUAUAGCCAGAUCAUUUCUUACGAAAUUGAGCAUUAUUAUUGGUGAAAUUUUGAUAGUUGGAGGCAUUAUGGGGUUGGGAAGAAAAUUGACCAUUAUUAAAUUGGCCAUUUUGAUGUGGCAUAGAAGAGCCACGGUUGCCUUGCUUGUGAUUUGCACCAUGCUUAUUAUAUUGUCGUUGUGUAGCAUUAGUCGUAAUAGGAGAAAUUGCCAUUGGAUCUGCUCGUUUCAAAGUUGCUUCAAAAUCAACCAACUUGUCAUAUAACUCGUCAAAGGAAAUAACAGUUUCACGUGUUCUUACCCCAACAAUUAUUUCUUUGAAUUCUGCGCCAACUCCAUUAGCAAUAUGAACCGCAAUAUGAACCACAAUAUCGUCAUCAAUGAUGGGUAUAUCAAUCAAUGAUAAUUCAUCAGUAGUAGAUCUUAGGGAAUUGAGAUAAUCUGCCACAGAUUGUGAUCCACGAUGGGGGCGAGCUAGACGCUCUUUUAGCGAAAACACACGGCUACGGCUAGGAUUGGAAUAAAGUCUUGCUAACUUAUCCCACACUUAUUUGGACGUUGUGGAACAAGCAAUCAGUGGAGCAACUCUUUCUGAAGAGGAGGCAAUGAUGGAAUGAAAGAUCAAUUGAUCUUGACGUUUCCAAUAAAGGUAUGCUGGGUUUGGGGUGGAUACAGUUUCACUGCUAGAGGCUAAUGUUGGGUCUGGACAUGGAAAGGAUCCAUUUAUGUAUUUGAUAAGAUCAUAACCAAAAGCAAGGGAUAAAAACUGAGCUCGCCAAGUAAAAUAGUUUUCUGGUGUAAGUUUCAAAGGAAGUUGUGCAACAACAUUAAUAGAGAUAUACCCAGUAGAUUGUUGGGUUGAUUGGGUAGGGGAAAUGGCUGUAGAAGUAGGUGUUGUUUGAUCAGCCAUUAUAAAAAAGAAAAAUGUGCUCUUUAGAGACUAGAGCUCUGAUACCAUGAAGAAAUUAUAUGAAUCAAUAAUUUAUCAAUGAGUAACGUUACAAUUUAUACAAGUCAGGCAUACUUGGCUGAUAAGCCAAAUACUAUAAGAUAAGUCAUAGCCUAUAAGAUAAAUACAAGCUAAGGUAAAGAGCUAUAAGAUAAGAUUACAAGUUAUUGAAACAGAGAAUAGUUAUCUAUGUACAUGUUUGGCUAAUACUACCCUCCCAAGUUCGAAUCUUCGGUUGAAAAUUUUGAUUUAAACUUAGUCUUCAUCCCUCAUUUAUAAAUAAUAAAUAAAUUAAUUAAUACAUAAAUAAAUAAAACCUACGUGAAUGUAGAAAUGAAUCAGAUGAAAAGUAAAUAUUGUAUAAAUACCCGCACAAUGUGGUUCAGCUGCAUUGAAUAUUAUGCCAAGAAUAUGCAAAUCUGUUGGUUAGUGUUGACUUUGAACUACCUGAAGUACACAAGGGACUUUAACAUAGACUUAAUAACCAGUGGAAUUUCUGGCAAUUUAAGAAAAAAAGGGAACUAAGAUUCAUUUUAUUAUUCUUCCUUCCUGAACCUUAACAAAGAAAUUAAUCACAAAAAUAGUUUUUUGAAGUCUUUAAAAGUAAACCUUUUAGGAUCUCUUCAGAGAGCCGAAGAAAUGAAACAUGAGAAAACUUUGAAGUGAAAAGUAAUUUGGAGCUUACACAUCUUGGCACUCUUAAUCGGUGAAGCAACUGUGAUGUAACCUAACAGAAUGAUUAGAAUUUUCUGAGUAUAUAUGUUAACCCAUCCAUCAUAUUAUCUAUAUGUGUAUUCAGCACAAACCUUUUAAUCUUGUAUAAACUUAAAAUAGAGAACUGUUAUUCGUUCAAUACUUGCAGCCUUUAGAAGCUCAUCAAGUCCUUCACAAGUCCCAUUGUCCACUGUCGCAAGAGUUUGUUAAAAUCAUGAAUCAGUAUUGUGAAUUGGUUUAGUUAUAUUCUAUUAAGUUCGUUGCUAUUUUUCAAAAAAAAAAAAGUUCGUUGCUGAGGUGGCUUGAUGAGCUGGCGUUUGUGGGAACCUUAGUGGUUAAGUUGUUACAACAGUCCUACAAGUUUUUGGAAUUAAAUAUAAAAGAAAGCAAUGCUGGCCGGUGCAGCACCUAAAGACAAGAUCUUGACUAACUUUGAGAUAAAUUUUGUUAAUUCUUCAUUGAAGGGAUUUAUUCUCUGUGAUCUCAAGAAUUGUAGUAAUCAAUAUCUUAAUAAAAGUUUAUUAUCAGCCAUGGAUACAGGUACUAUGGUACCAAACCACGUAAUAUUACAAUGUUCUUUUUCUCUACUUUUUUAGUUUCUUUGUCAUAUAUGUUCUUUGUUCUUUGAUCUAGUGUCAUUAAUUCUUUGUGCCAUUAAUUGGACUGGUUAAUUGGCUAGUUUGAUUAAGAGCCGAAAGAGAAGAAAAGGCCUUGAUUUAUAGAAAAUUGGUAUCAGAGCCUUGGAGCUCUUUGCUCUUGAUCUUCAAAUGGAAAAGUAUCAGAUUUGAUCUCAAAAAAUUCAAUGGUGAAAAUAAUUUCUACUUGUGGAGUCUCAAAAUGCGUGCAAUUCUAUUUCAAGAAGGGUUUGAUAGUGCUCUUGAUGAUGAUGAAUAUCCAAAGGAUAAGAAAGAGAUUGAAGAAGGUUCAUCAAGUUCUGGAGGAGACAUGGGGUCCAUUAACAAUAAGGCUCACAACAGCAUUAUUUUACAUCUUUCAAGUGAAGUGUUGAGAGAAGUGGGAAAAGAAGAGACUACUUCUGGUCUAUGAGCAAAACUUGAAGAGUUAUUCUUGAAGAAAUCUUUGGCCAAGAGGCUCUGUAUAAAGAGGAAGUUGUACACAUUUUCAAUAAAGGAGAGGACAACUAUGAAAGAUCAUUCGGAUGAAUUUAACAAGCUGAUAUUGGAUCUUAAGAAUGUUAACAUUAUUCUUGAAAAUGAGGAUAAAAUUCUUAUCUUACUAAGCUCACUCCUAGAUUCAUAUAAGCAUUUUGUGGGUACUUUGUUGUAUGGAAGACAAUCACUCACUUUGAAGAAUGUGAAAAAUGCAUUAGAAUCUAAAGAUUUAAAAAAAAGAACAGAAAUAAGGGAUCAAAAUCUUGGAGAGGGCCAUAGUUGUCAGAUUCAUAUUAGAGAAGAAAGCCAAUAAAGACAAAAAGAAUAAUAAUAAGAGGGAUAAAGUUGAUAACAAGAAGAAACAAAAUGCUACUUAUGUCAUAAAGAAAGACAUUAUAUUAAGGAUUGCUUUGAGAAGAAAAAGCUUAAGAGGCUGUAAAAGGAACCAAAUGGGAAGGUUGCCAUUGUAUUUGAAGAUAAGGGAGAUUCAGAAGGAGCAGAUGUCCUUAUUACACUGAAAAAUAACUUACUGGUGAGUGGAUACUGGACACUGUAUGUUUUUUUUUUCAUAUGUGCCUAAAUAGAGAUUUGUUCAAGACCUUUGAAAGCAUUGAUGGGGGCAAAGUCUUGCUUGGAAACAAUCUUACUUAUAAGGUUAUUGGAAUUAGAACCAUUAGUAUCAAGAUGUUUGAUGGGGUAACUAAAGAUCUAAAAUCAGUGAGAUUGAAAACUUUUUGUAUUUCUCUAUAUCGUAAAAGGUUACACAGAUUCCUCUUAUAGAGAAGAAUACAUAAAAUCAGGAAACUGACAAUAAAUUAGCUAUCUAGUUGUACUAGCUAUUUCCUAAUUUACACCAUUGACUUAUUCUUAUUUACAGCUAACAAUCCUCUCUAACUACAAAUAUUUUUUUCCUUUUCUACACUCCCCCUGAAGUUGGUUUGAAGAUAUCCUCCAUAGCCAGCUUGCCAAUUAGCUCGUUGAAUUGCCGAGUAGGAAGCCCCUUAGUAAGUACAUCUGCAACUUACUGAGUAGUGGGAAUGUUAGGCAUACAGAUUAACCCUUUCUCAAGUAUUUCCUUGAUGAAAUGUCAUCUUUAUUGUCAUAAGUAGUUGAUCUAAACUAAGUUUCUAUGCUGCUUCUUGCCACCACAUUUUGCUUUUUACUUCGCCAUGUAAAACGAUUGCCACCAAUAAACGUGCAAUAGCCAGAAGUUAAUCGUUUAUCAACAGCACUUCUAACCCAAUCCGCAUCAGUGUAGGCUUCAACUUGUAAGCGCCCACGAUUCUUGAAUAACAAACCUCUUCCAGAAGUCCCCUUCAAAUACCUGAGAAUUCUAUAGACUGCAUUGAAGUGUUCUUGUCCAGGGGAAGGCAUAAACUGGCUAACUAUGCUCACUGCAAACGCUAUAUCUAGACGAGUAUGCAAUAAGUAAAUCAAUCUUCCAACAAGUCUCUGGUAUUGUUCUCUGUCCAGGACUUCUUCAGGUUUAAGAGGCUAUAAUUUGAGGUUGAGCUCAAUAGGUGUUUGUGCUGGUUUACACUCUAGCAAGCCCGUUUCAUUAAGCAAAUCAAGGACAUAUUUACGUUGAUUCACAAAUACACCUUUUUUGGAUCUAGCAAACUUCAUUCUAAGAAAGUAUUUCAAUGUCCCUAAAUCCUUGAUCUCGAAGUCAGCUGCAAGUCUCUUUUUCAAAUUUUCUAGUUCUUCACUGUUAUGAUAUGUCAUGACUAUAUCAUCCAUAUAAACAAUUAGUGUAGCAAUUCUGCCUUCUCUACUAUGUUUAUAGAACAUAGUAUGAUUAGCUAGGCUUUGACAAUACCCACAAUUCUUUACAGAUUUCCUAAAUCUCUCAAACCAAGUUCCAAGGGAUCACUUGAGGCCAUACAACAACUUCUUUAGUCUACAGACUUUCUUUGAUCCCAAAUUCUUCUCAAAACCGGGUGGUAGACUCAUAAAAACCUCUUCCUUAAGAUCACCAUUCAAAAGGCAUUUUUUACAUCCAAUUGGUAUAAUGGCCAGUUCAGAUUUACAACCAAAGAUAAUAGAAUUCUAAUUGAGUUUAUCUUCGCUAUCGGAGAAAAGGUCUCCUGAUAAUCAAUCUCAUAGGUUUAAGUGAAUCUCUUAGCUACUAAUCUUGCCUUAAAGAUUUCUAUGCUACCAUUUGCUUUAUACUUCACAGUAAAGACCUACUUGCAACCUACAAUCUUCUUCUCUUUAGGCAAGUCAACUAUCUCCCAAGUACCAUUUCUCCUAAGAGCAUUCAUCUCUUAUAUCACUGCCAAUUUCUAAUUUGGAUCACCAAGAGCUUCUUGAAUGUUUCUUGGGAUAAAAACAGUGUGAGAUUUUUUAAGUAAAUGCCCUAUAAGUGUGAGAAAGUUUGUCAUAAGAAAGAUAUUGAGCAAUGGGAUAUCUAGGAUUCUUAGUGAGAUUUCGAAUUCCUUUUCUAAUAGCAACGAGAAUAUUAAGGGCUGAUGAUUCUUUGCUAGGGAAAAUGAUGGGAAUUGAAGAUGAGUUAGGAUUGAAAAUACCUGUGAUAUUUGCAGGUCCAAUCCCCGAGGGUUGUGAUUGCUCGUUACCAAGAGUAACUGGUUGCCUUUGACUUUUUUUAUGAUGUUUUCUCCAAGUAUAAACCAAAAGCUCAAUGUUAGAAUCAUUUUGAUCUGGCAGUAGUAGUGAUUCUCCCCAUGUUUCAGAUACAAUAAUGUUUGGCAUUAUAUUGCCAGAACUUCCCUCAUUAUUCUCAGUGUUUUUAUCAUCACAUUGUUCCUGACUUUGAAGGUCGGGAAUGGUAGGAUGAGAGGAAUGAGGUAUAGUAGUAAAAAAUACUUUUGGUAAAGAGUUAGGAGAUAUAUCCCAAAAAGUUUAUUCCAUUACCUCAUACUCCCCCUGAAGAGAAUUUUUGUGAAAGUAGGAUUUAUUUUCAAAACACGAGAUAUCCAUACUCGCAUAAAUUUUCCUUGUUUGGGGAUUAUAGCACUCAUAUCCCUUUUAUUGGAGGCAUGCCCUUGGAUCAAGUUUGGACUGAGUGUUAUUAGGUAUACGAACAAAGACAGUACAACAAAAAACUUUAGAGGUAAAUCUUAAUACAUUCUAGAUAGGGGAAAGCAUUUUUUAAAACAUUCUAGAGGUAUAUUAUAUUUUAAAACACAUGUAGGCAUCUUAUUAAUUAAAUAAGUUGCUAUUAAAAUAACUUCUCCCCAAAGAUAUUUUGGAACAUUCAUCGAAAGCAUUAUAACACUUGUUACUUCAAAUAAAUGUUUAUUUUUUCUUUUAGCAAUCCUAUUUUGCUGAGGAGUAUCUACACAAGUGGACUGGUGAUAAAUACCUUUUUCUUUCAAUUUUUUUUUCAAAAUACCUUUAUAGUACUCGGUUCCAUUAUCAUUGUGAAGAACUCUAAUUUUCUUUUGAAAUUGAGUUUCAACUAUUGUGUAAAAGUCUUUAAAAAAAUUUCCAACUUCAGAUUUUUUACUCAUUAAGUAAACCCAAUAUAGACGGGUGUGAUCAUUUAUGAAUGUGACAAAUCAUUUUUUCUUUGAAAUAGUAGUAACUCUUGAAGGUCCCCAAACAUCACUACAUAUUAAAUAAAAUGGUUUUGAAGGAAUAUAAGGUUUUGGCAGAUAAGUAGUACAAUGAAUCUUUGACAUACAACAACUUUCACAGUAAAAUGAUGAAAAAUCCAAACCCUUAAAUAAAGUAGGAAACAAAUGUUUAAGAUAUGGAAAGCUAGAAUGUCCUAAUCUUAAAUGCCAAAGCAUUAUUUGUUCAUAAAUAGAGUUAGAACUAACACUACUAAGGCCCUGAGCCUUUUUAUUCCUAGAGAAAUCAUCAUCAAAGUAGUAAAGGCCACCAAUCAAUUUAGCACUGCCAAUCUUCUUCCCCGAGGUUUGGUUCUAAAAUUCAAAGUAAGAAUCACAAAAAAUCACUCGGCAAUUAGAAUCUUUAGUUAUUUUACUCACGGUUAAAAGAUUACAAGCUAACUUGGGAACAUGAAGAAUAGAAUUAAGGUUUAAUUUUUUGGAUAAUUUAAUCAAACAUUUCCCUACUAUUGGUGAGAAAGUACUAUCUGCAAUUCUUAUUUUGUCAAGACCAUAACAUGGUGAGUAGGUGCAAAACAAAUUUGAAAGGUUGGUCAUAUGAUCAAAAGCUCUUGAAUUUAUGAUCUAAUGAGCAUAAUUUGAACAUAAAGAAAGAGCAUUGGGUGUGCUAUCUGUUUAUGCAAGAAAAACAGUAGGAAUACUACUUGGUGAGUAAUUGGGUUUUAUCAACUGCAGACGGUAAUCCAUCUGCUCCUUGGCGAAAGGGCCUGUCUCGGCUUCAUUUGCAGUACAAAUCAACCAGGUAUUUUUAUCACCAGGCUUGCUGCUCUUUCAAUUUACUGGUUUUUCAUGGAUUUUCCAGCAUGUUUCUCAGGUAUGACAUUGUUUGUUGCAAUAGUCACACUAUACCCGUAGCUUCUCUACAGUUUUAUGUUGAAAUCUGGCUAUUUUGUUAAAAACAACCAAUGCACUAAAAAGGGCAGAACUUUCAGUAGGCCCGUCAGUUGUCUUCUUUCGUAGCAUUAUAUGUAUACGGCUUUCUUCUCUUCGAACCUCAAUAAACACCUCGCCAAUUGGAGCAACUGGCUUUCUGCCAAUGAUCUGCCCCCGAACCUCAUCAAACUCAACGUUGACUCCUACAAGAAACUUGUAAAUACGAGAAGCCUCAACAAUAUUGUUGUAAUAUUUGGCAUCUUCUGUGGAUUUCAUUUCAUAAUCAUUGAACAGAUCUAAAUCUUGCUGAAUGGAUUGAAACUACCUUAAACAAUUAUCACCAUUAAGGUAAAUAAUGGUAAUUUGAAUUAGAUGAGUAUCAGUAUUGGGAGUUUGGGUUUGUGUUAGAGAGUUGGUUGAAGCAGAUAUAAUCAGUUGAUUAUGAUGGCUCUAAUACCAUGAAAACUUUUUUGUAUUUCUCUAUAUUGUAAAAUGUUACACAGAUUCCUCUUAUAGAGGAGAAUACAUAAAAUUAGGAAACUGAAAGAAAAAUUAGCUAUCUAACUGUACUAAUUAUUUCCUAAUUUACACCAUUGACUUAUUCUUAUUUACAGCUAACAAUCCUCUCUAAUUGCAAAUAUUUCUUCCAUUUUCUACAGAGAUAUAUGCCAGACCUUACAAGAAAUCGCAUGUAUCUAUGGAUGAUUGAUCAAUUGGGCUGUAGCAUUAAGGUAGAAUAUGGUCAAAUACAGGUUAUAGAUAAGGGUAUGAAGGGAAUUAGAAGGAAUGGUUUGUGUGUUUUGGUUGGGUUAUUACCUCAGCUAGGGAUAAAUGCUAGUGUAAGUAGUGACAAAACCAAACUUUGGCAUAAUAAGAUAGAAUAUAUAAGUGAAAAAGGUUUGAAAGAACUAAGAAAGCAAGAGUUAUUUGGUCAUAAUCAAAUUUCCUCACUAGAGACAGAAGUUCAGGACAGGAAGACAUGAAACAAAGAGACAUUGGAUUAUGUUCAUUCAGGUUCCAUCUCAUGGUAGAGCUAGGUACUUUAUUACCUUAAUGGAUGACUUCUCAAGGAAUCUUUGGGUUUAUGUGUUGAAACAUAAAAGUGAAGCCCUAAAGAAAUUCAAGGAAUGGACAGCCCUAAUGAAGAACCAAAUUGGAAGAAAAGUGAAGAGAUAAAGAACAGACAAUGGCCUGGAGUACUGCAACAGCGAGUUUGAUGAGUUUUGUAAAAAGCAUGGCGUUAUAAGGCAUAAGACAGUAAGGCAUACACCACAACAAAAUGGCCUUGUUGAAAGAAUGAACAGAACCUUAAUUGAGAAGGUCAGAUAAUAUUAUUUCUCUAACCAUUUUUGGGCUGAAGCAAUCUCUAUUGCUGCAUACCUUAUCAAUAAAAAUCCCUCAUCAACUUUGGACUUUAAAACUCCACAAGAAGUCUCGUCUAGCAAACCACUUGAUCUAAGUAACCUAAGAAUCUUUUGUUGCCCAGCUUAUGCACAUAUAAGUUUGGGAAAGCUAAAACCAAGGGUUGUUAAAGGUUAUUUUAUAGGAUAUUCUGAAUGAAUUAAAGGAUAUAAGAUUUAAAGUAUUGAUGGGAAGCCCAUUAGAACCUUUAUCAGUAUAGAUGUUGUGUUUAAUGAGGAGGCAUUGAUACAAACAAAAGUUGAAACAUAGAUCUUUACUAAUUUUAAAGGAGAUUCACAUCUGAUGGUGGAGUCAGAUGUGCACAAACAUUCAGAAUUAGAAGGGUAUCAUCUUGUAAGAAAUAGAGAAAGAAGAGUUGCUGCAAGGCCUAAAAGAUAUGGUAUUGUUGUUUUAAUUUCAUAUGCAUGUAUGGUUAUUGAUUAUGUAAGUGGUUGAGAACUUAUCAGCUACAAAAAGGCCAUGAGUAGUAGGGAGAAGUCAAAAUGGCUUGUAGCAAUGAAAGAAAAAUUGCCUUUUUCUAGAAAAAUAAUACGUAGAUCCUAGUUGACAAGCCUUUAAACAAGAAAUUGGCUAGCUAUAAAUGGGAUUUCAAGCUCAGAAAGUGAUCAUGGGCAACCUAGAUAUAAGGCUAGACUUGUAGCAAAAAGGUUUACACAAAGGGGAGGAAGCAUUUUCACCAAUAGUUAAACAUAGCUCUAUAAGGGUUUUGUUGGCUAUCACUGCAUUCUUAUAUCUAGAAUUAGAUCAAAUGGAUGUCAAAAUAGCCUUUUUGCAUCGUAACUUAGAUGAAGAAAUUCUAAUGGACUAACCAGAAGGAUUCAUUAAAGAAGGAACUAAAGAUAUGGUUUGCUUAUUACAUGGCUCGAAGCAAUCCCUAAGACUAUAGUAUUUAAGGUUCAAUGAAUUUAUGAUCACUCAUGGAUACUUCAGAAGUCAAUAUGACAGUUAUGUGUAUUGUAAACUCUGCCUUUUAAAGAUACUAUCUAUCUUCUUUUAUAUGUUGAUGACAUACUUAUUGCAUAUAAACAAAGAGAAUAAAUAUAGAGGCUUAAAGAUGAACUAAGUUCUGAGUUUAAUAUAAAGAUCUUAGGCCCUACAACAACGAUUUUAGGAAUGCAGAUCAUAAGAGAAUGAGGUGAAAAAACUUUGUUCCUUUUUCACAAGCUAAUUAUGUCAGAAAGGUGCUUAACAUAUUUGGUAUGCUUAGUUCUAAACUUGUUACUAUACCUUGUUGCACAUUUGAAACUGUCUAAACAACAAGAACCAACUGAAGGAGCAAAUGUUGAACACAUGAUGAAAAUACCUUAUUCUAGUGUAAUGGGGAGCAUCGUGUAUGAUAUGGUUGUUUUAGACCCGAUGUUUGCAUAUGGAAUAGGAGUUUUCAGCAGGUUUAUAAGAAAUCCAGGGAAAGAACAUUGAGAUGCUAUUAAGUGGAUACUUAGAUACCUUAAUGGUACAACAAAUAAUGGUAUUUUAUUUGGAGGAAUUAAUAAUACACAAGUAAAAUCUUAGGCUAUGUGGACUCAGAUUUUGCUGGCAAUUUGGACAAAAGAAGGUCAGUUACUGGAUUUGUCUUCACAUUGUAUGGAGGUGCAAUGAGUUGGAAAGAAUCAUUGUAAUUAGUUGUUGCUUUAUCUAGAACUGAAGUUGAAUAUGUUGCACUCAUAGAGGCUACAAAGGAAACAAAAUGGCUCAUAGGCUUGGCAUCAGAAUUAGGAUUGAGGCGAGAGUCGAUUUCCAUUAGUUGUGAUAGUUCUAAUGCAAUACAAUUGAGCAAAAACCCAAAAGAACAUGAAAGAACAAAGCAUAUUGAUGUUAGGCUACAUUUUAUCAUAGAAGAAAUUGGUUCUGGUGUGGUGAAUAUUAUCAAAAUCCCCUUAGUAAUCAAUCCUACUGAUAUUCUAACAAAACCUUUGCCUAUAGUCAAGUUCAUGGGCUCUUUGAACUUGAUUAGGGUUGUUAGCUUGUAAAUCAAGCUAUGUGUUGCUGCUACAGAGUUCGGGUGAAGCUUGAAAAUAAUAUAAAUGAAGAGGAGAUUUGUGAAUUCGGUUAGUUAUAUUCUAUUAAGUUAGUUGCUGAGGUGGCUUGAUGAGCUGCUGUGUGGGACCCUUGUAGUUAAGUUGUUACACGGUCCAACAAGCUUCUGGAAUUAAAUACAGAAGAAAGCAACGCUGGCUGGUGCAACACCCGGAGAAAAGAUCUUGACUAGCUUUGAGAUAGAUUUUGUUAAUUCUUCAUUGAAGGGAUUUGUUCUCUGUGAUCUCAAGAAUUGUUCUAAUCAAUAUCUUAAUAAAAACUUCAAGUCCAAAGGGGUAUUAUCAGCCGUGGAUGUAAAUACUUUUGUAGCAAACCACGUAAUAUUGCAGUGUUCUUUUUCUCUGCUUUCUUAGUUUCAUUGCCGUCUUUAUUCUUUGUUCUUUGAUCUAGUGUCAUUAAUUCUUUGUGCCAUUAAUUAGAUUGGCUAAUUGGCUAGUCUGAUAAAGAAUCGAAAGAGAAGAAAAGGCCUUGAUUUCAUAACAAGUAUUCUGUCCAUUAAGGCUUCAAGUCAAUUAUUUUCUUAAACAAUUUAAGAGAAACUUUAAUUGCUUCAGUCUUCACUCUUCAACGUGUAUGAGUCUCUAUGAUAAGAGUUUUCUCCAAAUUCAAAUCCAACUUUAGCACCCAAAUUUUUGGCCUAAAUGGAAAAAAAAAAAAUUAAAGGCUUUACGUACUGGAUACUGAGGUACACACUUCACAUAUUAAUGUAAAAACUAAAAAGUUAACAUAUAUAUCGAAGGCUUUAUGAACUGGAUAAGAGUCUUGACAUUUUUAUGUAAAAAUUAACAUAUCAAAGGCCUUAUGAACUGGAUGAGAGUCGAUCAUUUACCCCCAUUGGGGACUGAUACAAAGUUAUUCCAGUUGGCGCACAAUGUCUUGCAAAGCAAGCAAACGUUCCCCUCACUAGAUGUAAUUGAACAAACAAUAAUCACAAUAUUUUUUUUUUUGGAAAAGUAAUUAAUUCAUUGAUUAGUACCAAAAAAAUCAUUGAAAUUUAAUCAAAUUAUACGGAGUUGCAUACCAUUUUUGCUCUUUGUUAAGAAUUGAUGGUUUCUUAAUAAGAUUAUAAUUGAAAGAAUUAGAAAUGGAAUGAGGAAGAUCUUUUGGGGGUAAAUUGAUUGAAGAAUGAAUGGAGAAUUUGUUUCAGCCGGAAAGAAAUCAGAAAGUAUUUGAGAUGGAAUUAAGAAGAUUUUUGUGGGUAAAUUGAUUAGAGAAUGAAUGAAGAGUAAAAACGCAAAAUUUGGAAACUCGGAUACUUGGAAAUCAAGUAAGGUCUGUGAAGUCGGAUAUUAGGAGAAUUAUACAGGCCGUUUGAUAUCUAAUUUGAACGGUUUAGGAAAUUGGGUGGAUAUUCUCUUGUGUGCAUAUUAAUUUUAUUAAUGAAGAGUGAUUCGUUCAAUUGACGAGUAGAAUUUUAAGCACUGUUAUAUGAUGGUGUUACGCAUUGUUUAGUACAAGUUUAACUAAUUGCAACUUAAAAAUUAUAGCACUAAAUUAUUUGUUAAACACUAGCCGCGCUGCUGUCACUUAAAAUUGAAAUUGAAUUGAUUCAACACUUUUAUGAAAAAAAAAAUUGAAUUUUUUUUUUAAUUUUUAUCAUAUUAUUAUUAAAAACAAUCAUGUUCGUCAUAUACUAUUAACUUUUAUUUUUAAUAAUAGCUUCUUUUACCACAAUAUGAGACUUAAAUAUUAUAGCACCUCAAUACUAAUCAAAUGCUUAGCGUAAAAUUUUUAAUAAAUAAAAAUAUAAUUUAAAUAGUUUAAUUUUUCUAAUAGACUAAUAAUAUUAGAAUAUUUUUAAUAUAAAAAUAAUUUUAAAACUAUAAAUGAUUAUAUUUAUUUUAAUAAUGUAUUUAUAUUUAUUCUAGAAUUUUUUAAUAAAUAUCUAGGUUAAAUAAAUUUUUCUAACAGACUAAUAACACAAUGCUCGCAAAAUGGUAAGCUUACCGAUUUGAGCCCUGGAGGCAAUUUUCGCUCAGAGAGAAUUUUCAAAUCUUGUUUUGACAAAUGACCGAGUUCGAGAUGCCACAUCAUCGUUGAUUCUUCUCCAUUUGACGUGACACACGCAUCAGCUUCUUGUGGUGUUUCCCCUUCAAGUACGAACAAAUUAGGACUGAUCUUUUCUGCCUUCAUCAAUACAAGCGCACCUUUAACAAUCUUCAUAAUCCCAUUUUCAACAUGGGUUUUACACCCAUGACAAUCUAUUGUCCCAAAGAUAAUAGAUUUUUCUUCAAGCCUUUGACAUGUUGUACCUCCUCAAUUGUACGAACCGUACCAUCAAACAUUUUUAUUUUGAUAGUACCAGUACCAACGAUUUCCAAGGCAUGAUCAUCUCCCAUGUAUAUAAAUCCUCCUGAGAUAGGUUCAUAUGUGUGGAACCAUUCUCUUUGAGAGGUCAUAUGCCAGGUAGCUCCUGAGUCUAUGAGCCACACAUCAGAUAACCAUUUUCUGCCUUCUGAAACAGUUGUUGUCUCCACUCUGCUUGUUUUUCCAACACUCUUUCUUGAAAUGCCCUUUCUUGCCACAAUUGUAGCAUUUGACAUUUUUCUUACUUUUUAAUUUUGAUCUACCAUGAUUGUGACUCCUAUUGGGGCCACGAUCUGUUGAUCUUCCUCUCGUCAUCGAUAGUGCUUUUACUUGCUGCGAACUUACUUGUUUGUCUUCCUUAUUUUUCCACCUAUUCUCCUCAUUUAAUACAGAGGCUGCAACAUCAUCGAAGACUAGACUGUCCGCUGGGUUGUUGUUUGUCAGGUUGAUGAUGACUUAGUCGUAUGAAUCUGGUAGACUUUGAAGUAGAAGCUCUACACGUUCAUUUUCCUCUAUUUUAUGACCCAACGUUGAAAGUUGUGAAAAUAGAGUCUUUAAGGUGUUGAUGUGGUCGGUCACAUAUUUUAAGAAGAUCUUGUUGUGCAGUGAUUUGGCCUUGUACAAUUUUGUGAGAGUAUCACAUAUUUCCUUUGCUGUCUUUUUCUUUGCCACAUUGGAUAAUACUCCAUCCACAAGCACCAAGUAUAGAUUAGAAAUGGUGUUGCCGUCUAUCUCGUUCCACUUGUCAUCAAUUAACUCCAUGGGCUUUUCUCCAAUUGCUAUCAAGCAUACAACUUUUAUCUUCAUUUUCCACAACGAAAAAUUAUUUCCGUUGAAUUUCUCAAUUUCGUAUUUUACCGCCAUCGCUUUUCACCAAAAACUAACUUUGCUAGGAUCGACUCUCAUCAUUUUCAAGUGAACAAUAAUUGUAUACGUGAACAAUAAUCAUAUACGUAAAUAGUGCCGUAUACGUUAACAGUACCCCGACUCCAAAAGAAAUACAACAAGUAGCUCUGAUACCAUUGUUAGGAAAUUGAUGGGUGAAACACGGCCACAGCUAAAAUGAAAUUGAAAGAAAAUUUACAAGUAUUGUAAUAUUUUGUCUCACUACCCAAAACCCUCUCACUCAAUAGACUCACAAGAGCUUUGUAAUUUUAAGCUCUUAAAAUCACUCAAAAUCUUUGUUUUUUCUCUCACCAAAAUUAGAUGCCUAAAAUCAAAUAAAGAGCUCCCUUUAUAUAGCCAAAAUUGGCUAUUAAAAUAUUAUUAUUAUUCUGUAACCGCCUUUAAUUUCUUCUUCUUCUAUUUUCUUCUUUCUUCUUUCUACUUCGGCGGUGCCAAACCCUUCAACAUUUGCUACUUCCAAAUUCUAUUUUUCUUUCCUUGGGUGGCACCUCCUUGGACUUCAAUUUGGGCAGCUUAUACAGCUUCUAGAUCUUCAAAAUAGGCUACUUCUGGAAGCCUUUUCGUGACACAUUACCUAGUAGAUUUACUCAAUCACAAAUUGGGUGGUUACAAACUAUGUUUGAAAACCUUUAAUUAAUAAAAUUCUUAUUUAUUUUCUUUCGUAAUACGAUUUACCUAUUAUGAAAUCAUUUGCAUUAGAUCGUGAAUAAUCUCAUUACUUUGGGGUAUUAUUUGCCUUGGACUUCUUUUUUUGGUCUAUCACUAUAUUACUUACCUUGGGCUGUCUCACUAUUCUCGUGUAAUAUUAUCUGCCUUGAGUCAUUCAUUUUUGUAUUGAGUGGUGAUAUUAUCUCAUCAGUUUUUAUAUUAAUUUCUAUUUUGCCGUUGUAUGAAAUUACUUAUUUUGGUGAAUUACUAUAUUAUUUCCCUUGGGCCGCCUCACCAUUUUGUUGCAUAAUCUGCCUUGGGUCAUUCAUUUUUGUAUAGAGUGGAGAUACGAUCUCAUCAGCUUUUAUAUUAAUUUCUGUUUUGCCAUUGUAUGAAAUUAUGAAAAAUGGAUAUUGAAGAGUUUCUUGCCACAAAUUGAACCUGCAUCUCUGGUAAGCAUUACUCUUUCAUUUUCGCGGAAAAGGCAGUAAGUGAAUGGCCUAAAUUCAUGGUUCAUUUCAUAUUAUGGAGUUUCUUUCUUCAGGAUGAUUUCGGCUGGAAUUCUCAUAAUUUGCUUCCAAAAAUCCACUACUGAUAGGCUUGGUGCUUGCCAUUUUUGCCUUUGCAGCUGGUAGUGGCUUGUAUGCUUGUUGGAUUAGUCAGAAAAAUCAAUUGGCAUUGGUCACAAAUUUUUUAUUCGAGCUGAGGGAUACAUACAGUAGUAGACGUCGUGUACUAUGUUCUCUUUCUCAUAUGUAUAAAUAUAGUAAGAGAUAUAUAUGGCUUUUAUAUAAUUCUCAAUAUCAUAAGCAGUAAACAUGGACUCUUGGCUUAAAGACAAUAUGAACAUGAAACCAUUUCACGUGGGUGAUCAAAUAAUAACUUUCAUUUGUUUAACUUCUUAUAGAAGUCAGAAGAGAGUGUACCUGCAACCAGUGGCGGUGCCAGAAAUUAUUUUUAGCGGGGCUAAGUUCACAUAAUAGUUUAAUUCAAGAAAGUAAUCAACAAAUAACAUAUAUCAAAAUAAAAAUUCAUUAAAGUAUUUAAUGCAACACACUUAUAAUUGUUCUCGACAAGGUUUCAUAUAUUGAAAACGUUGAAGAAUAACCUCAUUGUCAAGACUACAAAAUACAUCAUUUUUUUUAUGAAUACAACAAGGCUAUCAUUCAACCAUUGAUCUCCCAUCCGAUUUCGCAGAUGGUUUUUCACAAAAUUCAUAGCUGAAAAUGCCCUUUCUACUGUAACUGCGGCAACCGGUAAAAUCAAUGCCAAUGUCACCAAUAAAUAGACCAAUGAAUAUAAUUGAUCCUUUUUAGUCUCAACCAAUUUUCUUACUAGCUCACCAAUCCCUUUCAAUCCUGAAAAUUUGUUGUCAGAACCCACAUCCAUAAUAUAAACAUCAAAUUGAGUUUCAAGUGCCACAAGAUUCAUUAGAGAAAAAUCAUUCGGAUAAAACUCAGCAAGGUGAAGUAGUUUCUGUUUAUCAAAAGCUGCAAAUGAGUCAUUGGGGCAUAGACAUGCCACACAAAGAAGCAACUCAGUAUUCAUCUCAUUGAAACGAUUGCUUAAUUCUUUAAGUUGCAUGUCCAAAAUUGCAUAAAAUAAUUCAACUCGAAAAUAAUGCAAAUUCGUGAUCUUUUGAGCCUUGCGUUGUGAUCUUGCUUGUGAUAACUCAUAUGCAAAUCCAAGAAUAUUUUUCAUUAACAGCAGGCUAAACACAAAAGCAAAUGAUUGCAUUGACUUCGAUAACAUUGUAGCUUGAAAUCUUUGUUCAGAAUUUCCCUCAUUUGAAAUUAUCUCAAGCAUGUCAAUAAUAGAUGGAAACAUGGUGAUUAUACUCAAUAACGUACCAUAAUGUGGGCCCCAACGUGUAUCAGCAUAUCGCUUUAAAGUAACCUCUUGAUUUAAACCUCGUCCACUUGAAAGUUCACCAUCAUUGAGUGCUUUAAUAACUGCUUGAGCAUGUUUCUCUUGAAGAAUAUCACGACGUUUUGCUGAAGCACCAACAACAUUGAUAUCACGACGUUUGCCCGCGGGGAGUCGUGAUAUCAAUGAUUGCAUUCACCGUCCACAAGUUUAUCUUAUACACUUCAAUUAAUUUCAUAGCAUUCACAAUGUCUUGAUCCUUUUUUUUGUAAUGCUUGUGAUAACUCAUGUGCAAAUCCAAGAAUAAUAUUUUUCAUUAACAGCAGGCUAAACACAAAAUCAAAUGAUUGCAUUGACUUCGAUAACAUUGUAGCUUGAAAUCUUUGUUCAGAAUUUCCCUCAUUUGAAAUUGUCUCAAGCAUGUCAAUAAUAGAUGGAAACAUGGUGAUUAUACUCAAUAACGUACCAUAAUGUGAGCCCCAACGUGUAUCAGUAGAUCGCUUUAAAGUAACCUCUUGAUUUAAACCUUGUCCACUUGAAAGUUCACCAUCAUUGAGUGCUUUAAUAACUGCUUGAGCAUGUUUCUCUUGAAGAAUAUCACGAUGUUUUGCUGAAGCACCAACAACAUUGAUAUCACGACGUUUUGCUGACGCACCAACAACAUUGACUAACAUUGUGACUAAAUUGAAAAGAGAAGUAAUUAUAAGAAUUUAAAGAGAAACUGAAAACAAUUUCCAUGUCAAAAUGUAAAAAAAUACAAAAAUACAAAAUAUUAAUUUAAUAAACUAACUACCCAAUUAAAUCCCCAACCACUAAAUUACUAAUCCAUCAUAGCAUCACGCCAUGACCAAUGGCAUUGUUAUUCUAUUGUUUAUAAUAAGUAAAGUUAAAAGCAUUGCCACUUUGUCAAGAAGCAUCGCCACUUUAUCAAGAAACAUGCCACAAUCAUUCUAUUCAAAAAGCAUAAAAAAAUUCAAGAAUUAUAAUAUUAAAUUAUAAAGUGACAAAGAUGUUUAAUUAUCAAAAUAAUUUAAUCAAUUCUUAAUAAUUAAUCUAAAAGCUGCAAAGGUAUGACGGUAGUACCUGAAAAAAUGCAAAAAUGCAGACCAUGCGGUGGUGCAGGGCUCCAAGUGCGAGCUGCAAGUUGUAGCAUUUAUGGCAUGAAAACAAAGAGCUAUGAUGGCAUGAGAGUUUGAUAGAGAUAGAUGACAGGCUGAUCACUGAUGGUAGCCGAUGGAGUUUUUCUUUGGCAAAGGAUCGAUGGUGGUGGUUAGGGAUUUGAUUUUGAGUUUUUUUUUUUAAUUUCUAAUCGUUGUUUUAAAUUUUGGUCUUUUAGUUAUUUCAAAAAUAUUUCAGGGAUUUUAUUGUAAAUUCAAUAAAAAAAGAUAAAUUUAAUUUUUUUUUAAAUUCUAGGGGGCAUCAGCCCUAGCUCUCAAGUGGCGCCGCCUCUGCCUGCGACAUCAACCGUAUCAAGCGAAGAUAUUGGACAUUUAAUAAUGAAAAAAUUAGGAAUUUUCAUGGACACAUCAGUAGGUUUCGUAAAUAUGUAGAAUCAACUGAUUCUAGGUACCUUACAAUGUGACUUUUUUUUUUUCCCCUGAAGAUAAGGACUAUUUUUUAGGAUACUGGCCGUUGAGGCUUUGUUUGUAUUUUUGCAAGAAAAUGGAAAAGGGUGGGCUAAAGCGCAAAAAAUAAAGCUAACAACUGCUAAAUUUAAUUUUUUUAAGAGUGUUUUAAUGUGGCAUUUGAUUUGGGAACUUUUUUGUAGUUAUUGAAAUAGCCACACAGGGUAACAAUUGGGGCAUUCUUUCAUAAAUUGGACAUUAAUAGUACCGAGUACGAAUGAGGAUGGUUAAAUGCCUAAUCACCCUAUUAAUCUUGCAGUCCAAAAAAGCAAAAGCAAUAGCAUUACAAAUAGUAUAACUAUCAAAUUGAUUCACUCUGUCUAAACGACAAGUCAUCUGAUUACUAAAUUAUUUGACGCAACGACUGAUUUAGAAUUUUAAUGUAGAGGGAGCUUGGUACAAAUACUAUGAUUCACAGUAGCGUGUUCGAUGGUGCGAGUGAUCAACAACAGCAACAGACAAGUGAGGCAAUGAUGAUGUAUAUGUUGGAAAUAUAAAUUCAUAUUGUUUUUUGAAAGUACACAAUAUGAAUAGUAGCUGUUGGUACUGUUCACUUCACUAUUUACUAAUACUAUUGAUCUUACUGUUCACUCAACAACAAUUGUAAAUUCGUCAAGGCGUGUUCGAACUGUCCUUAAGACCAAUUUCUGCUUCUCCAGAAAGAUUUCCCGACACAAAAAAAAGAUAUAAAUAAAAUGGAUUGAUCCCUAGGAUAUAAUGACGUUAUUGUGAGCUUGUACUCCAAACACAACAGUUUAGAAUAACAAAAGAAAAAUUAAUGAAAAGAUAGAAGGAUAGGUUAUAAUGGCUGUGCCUUGAAGAUUUUGUAUUUUGAAAUAUCAAUAAAACUACAAGAAUAAGCUUAAAUAAUUUUAUCAAGAUUGCACUUUAAGAUGAAACACUAAUUAAUGGCCUUUCAAGACUUGAAUUGGGUUAAAUAGUUUAUGUACGAAAAUUGAAUUAUUGACAUCCAAAUGCACUUAAAUAAAUAUUUUCCCUAUCUCCUUUUAUAUAUUGUUGGUAAUAAAUCUAAUAACUUUAUGUUGUUGUGAUUCUUAAUGUAGUUUUUUUUUAAUCGGUAGCUGUGUACGUGUCAUUAUUAGCAAUGUGUCAUUUUCAUUACUGUGUUAUUGUUUGCAAUGUGUCAUUUUCAUUACUGUGUCAUUGGCCAAUAAUUUUGUAACAAAACCAACAUAUAGCGGUAAAUGAAAAAUUCACAAGUGGGGGACAUACACCCGUUUAAAAUAUUGUAAAUACAUUUUCUUCAUUCUAAGUGUGGACAUGCCAAUUUUGCAUAAUAGUCAUAUCCCAGAACAAAAGUCGCAUUAAAAUUUUAUUCAUUUAUUCAGGUUUUUUCCUGCAUUAACGAAUUCAUUGUGUAGGAUUUCAUUUUUAUGUAAACGAAUUUAGUUACGAUAAUCAACUACUAAUUUUUUUCCGUUAAUUGGCUACGUUUACGUUAAUUAACUGAUAAAUAACAUUGCAUUAGCGAAGCCAAGAGAUUCAUUUAAACCCCUAAGAUUCAAAUAUUCUUUCACUAGUACUACUGGAGAAAUUUGGCAAUCGAUAUUUCGGAAGACAUCAUUACAGAUGUCAAACAAAAGGUAAAAAUAAAAUAAAAAAUAGCUAGUCCCCCACUUGUAGGUAGGGCAUGCGUCUCAUGCGCUUUAAAUUUCCAAAAUUUAUAUCUUUUUGACAUGGAAACUACUCAGCAAGGCAAUGGUGACUCAACAACAUUAUAUAUAUGGAACUCUUUAGGUGAAUUGAAGAUGAGAACGAGGGAUUGCAUAAGCUACAAGAAUGAACGGUCAUUUGUAAAGUACAGCGAAUAGGGUCCAAUAGAUCAAAUCAAGUAGAGUAGAAGAAAAUGAAUUACACUUAUGGUACAAUCAGUUUCAAUUUCUUUCAUCUGUUAACCGUCUAUAAACAAGAUACAAGCUCGAAGCCACCAAUGGGCUAUAAACAGAGCUUCAUUCAAGAGAGUUAAAGGUAUCCCAAGUUCUGAAAAUUGAGAGCACGUACAAGUGAGCUUUUACAGAGAUUUUUCAGAGAAUGUUUUCUUAACUAUUCUAGAGGGAUUUAUAUCGGAUUUUGAGAAUUGUUCCCAUUCAAAGUCCAACCCCAAUUCAUGAGCCUAAAUAAUAAACCAAACAAAAGAGAAUAUUCUCUCCAUUUAUCUAGAAUUAUCUUUGCUAAAAAUAUCAUGAAUAAUUGGCGCUGUGGCAGUUUUAAAAUUUGGUGAUUGCUAAGAAAUUAAUGGUAAUAAGUUUAGAAUGUCGUUAUUUGUUAGGACCUGCAUUUAAAAUCUUAAAUAUUCGUAAUUAAUUAUAAAGAUCUCGGUUCACCUGCAAGCUACAACAAUUAGCUAACUGAUAUAUGGUAUUUUUUACAAAACUAUUCAAAAAGAAGGAGUAUAAUUAAUCAAACUGAUUUGGAUAGUACCACACGAUUUUUUUUUUAUUUUUAUUGACAAACCAACAUAAACAACAUAUUAACGUAACUAACGCAUUCACAUAUAAUUAUUUUAUUUAAUUAUUAAGAAAGACGAAGUACAUGGACGGUGGACACUAAGAAAUAUAAUCUCUUGUAGAUCAAGAAAUUUUAGAGGUUGAACUGAACUAAACUGACCCUCACACAAUUAAUUGACAGGUAAUAACAAUACCCAUCCUUUUAUUAACCAUAAUAGAAAAGAGUAAUAUUGCGUGCGUGCGCUGCGCUUAUUAACCAGUGUGGUCGGGAUUUCUUCCAUAUUGAGGGACAGCAAUCAGAUCAAGAUUAUCAAUUGUCUCGUCCUUAUCAUCAGCAAUACCAUAUACAGGUACUGGAGUACCCUCCAACCAUUCAUUCUUACCUGAAAGUUUAACAUUAGAAAAUGGAUUCAUAAAUGCUUAUAUUAAUAUAUGAAUUGUAAAUGAUAUCUAUUCAGCUGAAAUUGGCUAAAAAACCUGCGCAAGGAAAAGGAGUUUCCAUAUUCUUCAAAUCAGAAAAGAUCUCCAGGUGAAGCGUAAUCAAAACUAAAAAAUAAGUAGAGCUUGAGCGUGUUCUUAUUUCUGGUUUGAUCUGAUAUAUAUAGAUUCAAG
rnacentral:lncRNA from 1 species